rnacentral:lncRNA from 1 species
GCAGUUAUAACAAAUUUAAUACGCGUAUAACGCAAACUACAGAAUAUUUACGAUUUUCCUAAAACUAAUUUGAGAUUAUUGAAGCAAAAAAAUGUUGGACUAGCAGUAAUUGAUUUGACGAACUUGGUCUAAUAUUUUCCACCAGUUAGUGGGUUCAAAAGGAGUUCACAAUUGUGGAAAAUACAGCAACCCAAAUAUAAUGUACGAAAAUCAUGUCAAUUAAAAAAAAAAAAAAAAGAGUAGCACAAACUUCCACAUAGGAGCAGGUAGUUGCCCAAAAGUUCACCGUAAAAAUAAGGCAGGACCUUAACGGAAUACUUUCUCUUUGCAAAUUUCCAAUUGGGCAGCAAAUUAGUAUUAAUUAUUCACCAAAUUAUGUAUAUAUAUAUAUAUAUAUAUAUAUAUUUUUUUUUUUAAAUGCUGAAUCCAAACAAGAAAAGGCCUCAGAAGAAGAAGAACUUCUAACCCUAGAAAUUUUACUACUAAAUUUUCUAAGGAUUUUUCUCUAGAUUUUAUCUGAUUUUUCUUCGAUUUUUCUUCCUGAUUUUUUCUUCUAACCUAGCACAUAAAACUUACCUCAUAUAUAUAGCUUUCAAAAAUCUGCACAAAUCCAAAAAAAAUCCUUCAAAUUCUUGAACAAUUUUUUUGACAAAUAGAGGGCGUGGAUAGAUUCACAUAUAUCCACGACUCCCAUUCAUCCAACAAACUGUCCUCCCGUACAGAAAUUGUGCGAUUUUGAGGGAAUAUUCCUACUCCUUUGACAAAUCUGUUGAGGAUAAGGUGACAUGGAGGGGGACCAUUUUGAGUGAACUCAGGUGAGUUAUGGCGAGUUGAGGUGAGUCGAUUUGAAUUAGUGAGGAAGAAGAUGAAUAGUAGCAGUAGGCGCCACUUCUGUUAAUAAGUCUAAGGUUCAUGAAUUUUGAGAAAAAAAUUAUAAGAGGAA